GGCUGCAACUCGCCUACAUGAAGUCGGAAUUGCUAGUAAUCGCGGAUCAGCAUGCCGCGGUAAAUACGUUCCCGGGCCUUGUACACACCGCCCGUCACACCAUGGGAGUCGGUAACACCCGAAGCCUGUAGUCUAACCGCAAGGAGGACGCAGUCGAAGGUGGGAUUGAUGACUGGGGUGAAGUCGUAACAAGGUACC
rnacentral:rRNA from 1 species